GCUACGCGGUCAGACAGAGCAUUGGCAGAGCAUUGGGCUGGUAUUCCAAAGGUCGUAGGUUCGAUUCCCACCGUGGCA